rnacentral:rRNA from 1 species
AGCCUGAACGCUGGCGGCGUGGCUAAGACAUGCAAGUCGCACGGGACCCGCAAGGGUUCAGUGGCGCACGGGUGAGUAAUGUAUCGCUAAUGUACCCCGGAGACAGGGAUAGCCAUCCGAAAGGGUGGGUAAUACCUGAUGAUAUAAUCCCGACGCAUGUCGGGAUUCUCAAUCACAGCAAUGUGCUCUGGGAGCAGGCGAUAUCGUAUCAGCUAGUUGGUGAGGUAACGGCUCACCAAGGCGACGACGCGUAGCUGGUCUGAGAGGACGACCAGCCACAGUCGGGACUGAGACACUCGCCCGGACUCCGUACGGGGGGCUCGACAGUAACGACGUCCUUACCGCAA